rnacentral:lncRNA from 1 species
UGCUGGUGGUAAGGUCGAGCCUCCGCCAAAGAGGAAGCGAUUGGACAAGGACAACUCUGACGACGACGAUGAUGAUGGGGGCGAGGAUGAUGAGAGACCUGCCAAGCGAUAGGCCCAAGGGCCCUUCGUGGUCUGAGCAAUGACUUUGACAUAUUGACUCUAUUUUCUCUCUCAAAACCCGAUCCUCUUUGCAGCAGGGAAAAAAGAUAGCUGGUUUUCAAUUGGAGUAAGCUUUUUCUUUUGGGUCGUUUGUGUAUCCUGAAAGUGCAUUAGGAUUACGAGCAUAACUCUUUGUACUGUCGAUGCAUAGUCCGCACGGGUUUCGACAAACUGUGUUGCAACAGCUGAUUUAGACAUGUGGCCCCGUGGGAGUUAGGAGAUUCGGCAAACAUUUCAUUGGACACAGUCAUGUUUUGUAGGUUUCUAUAAUUAAGAGUUCUCUGGUUAGGGUCUUUAAUCCUCAUUUUUAUGCGGUCUUUGAAUCUUUCGGCAUGUCUCUAUCUCAAUACCCAUCCUCCCAGUUCCUUUCUUUCUCGUCUUUUUGGCCAUUUUCUCAGUUCAUUAGAUGCAUGUGAUUUGGCAAAAGCUCAACUUGGAUGGUCGGGGUCUCCUUUUCGUUUUCAAUUGAGGCGGAUGUGCCAUCCCUUUGAGGUGAUUCGUUUAAGACGAUCACAAGUGAUGAGUGUUCCUAAGUUUCUCAUCUCAUGCUUUCAUUACAAUGAGUUCUCCCCGGGAAGGAGUAAGGGCAUUGGGCCAUGCGAAGAGCUUCCUCUUUUCAAACGAAGGUGAACCUCCAAAGAGCUUUUGCGAGCGGAAACUGGUGGAAGUUAUAUUUUCGUAAGUAAUGAACAACGGAUGAAUUCGACAUGCGAACAAUGAUUGACCAAGUAAGGUCGACUUCGGGUUGGUUUUUAGGAUGGUUGUCCGGUACUGAACCCGGUUACUUCCUUGCACGUAUAUCCCUAACCAAUUUGCGAAUCUCCUUACGGAUGCAAAACCAUUUCUAACUCCGUACCUACUUACCAAAGGUUCGACUUUCAACCUUCACAAUGGUUUAAGUUUUCCUCCUCCAUCAUUCGAUAGUUUGAAUGAAGGAGUCCCAACCACAUGAACCUUUCAAGUACAAAACAUGUUAUCGAGUCUAGUGACUACAGAUUUGCACUGGCCGCGAUUCCUUCAGGACAUAGCCUAUAUGAUGGACUACGAAAGUAGAGCAUCGCCAUUGAUUCUCAGAGCAAAUGGGAGGGGGAGGGGGGGAGGGGGGGUACAACUUAAAACAAGUUAAUUUACAUCUCGCAUAUGCAUAUGAAAGGGCAACCCUCUCCACACGAAAGAGAGAGAACUGCGGAGAACAUCUCCCUCUAACUGAAAUUCCCAUAUUUUACGUUUCCAAACGCGUAUACCAAAGUGUUUCCACAGCAACACUAGUACACAGAGGAACCGAUACGCAUAGUAUUUUCCCCGUUACAAACACGUGUAAUUCAUGUAUAACGCUGUCCGUAAGUAACAUCGAAUAUGUCAUGCUAGAUAAUGGAUGUCAACCAAAUAGUUAAAAUCAUCGGCCAACAGAAACUAGUCCUCAAAAAACAUCCGAUAAGCAUCUUAACCAAAGAAAAUAGCAGGCAAGAAGCCAUGCGUCAUGUCAUCUGGUUCUCAAAGAUCUCAAUGCUCUAGUCAUCUGACAAUGCUCUAGAAGGAUUGAUUUCUCUUGAUGGAGGAAGGUUAGUAUCAGGAUGGCCAUCCAUGACUAGCUGGUAAAGCGUUGAAAGGUUUGCUUGUUACCACGGAUGGUGUUAUACAGACUACAUGCUUCGAGGAGUAUUCGCCUCGCCCACAAUUUAUAUGUUCCCCCUGGUAUUCCUCCUAGAUGUGAUGUUGCACCAAACCUACCGCCCCGUUUGGUUCAGCUUUUCCAAGGGGCUUUGGGCAUCCCUUGGAAAAAAUAUUUUGCGUUUGGUUCGCACUUUUGAGUCUCCAUUUGCCAAAUGCCAGCAUUUGAAAUUCCGAAAGCCCAAAAAGCUUUCAGCAAUUUCGAAAUGUUAGUCUAAGGUUUAAUGAAUUAAUAUUGCUCUAAUUGAUAAUCAUGUUUUCCUCUUUUGCUCUCAAAAAAUACUGUUCAUUGUCUUCUUCCUUCUUUCUCACGAAGCUCCCGCCUUCCUUGCGAAGCUCAAUCGGCGAGCGGUGCUCAGCUGUGAGCAGCCAGAUCUGGUUGCUAGGAAGCCUUGCCUGAGGUCACGCGACCUGAGGCGAGGUGGCCUAAGGUCAAGCGACCUCGGGUGUCACUUGGGUCGCUUAACCUCAAGCGUCGCCUGAGUCGCGCGACCCAGGGCGUUGCCAACCUCAGGCAACACUGCCUCCCCCCACCGCCACUGCCGCUAGCCGCCUCCCACCACCACCACCACCAUCACUACCGAGCAACUACAUCUCCUCCUCCCUUUUCUUUUCUUUUCUUUUCUUUUUUUCCUUUUUCUUUUCACCUUAAAGCUGCUUUGCAAAAUAUACACAAAAAUGAGUUUCCAAACACACUUGCAUUCACAAAAUGUCCAUUCAUUCAAAAUUACUUGGGGAAAUGCAAAGCCAUUUCCCCAAAAUUGAACCAAACGGGCCUCAAGGGAAAAAAAUGAGUAAACACAAGUGAGACAUGCCAGCAUAGAAGUAGCAUAUGAUACUAAUGUGCUGCCACAUUUAUCCUCUGCAAUAGCUAGAAACAGCGAACAACAGAUCGGCAUGGCAUCACCUUGCGACUAGAUGCAUCUCGUGCGUCUCUUCAUGGCCAAACAACAAAAAUCUUUUCACAACGGAAGUGCCGAUCAGGAGAGACUGAGUCUUCCGAUAUCUAAUUUAAUGUCAUCCAGAAUCAAGCUAGGUAAUUCUUCUUCUUCUUCUUCUUCAUUUCCCUUCUUGUUCCAAUACUUUUUCAAAAUCUCCGAGGCUUGUUUGUUGACCUCACUGUUCAUGUGAGUCUGGAGGUCCGUGAUUUUGUUGAACCCCUUACAUCCAUUAAUCAUGCGCAAAUAUUCUUUGUUCCCUUCACCGCUCUCCAGAAUGCUUUCCACACUAUCUAGGCACAGUGUUAUGAUCUGAGGGUUGGAGCAAGUAAGGAGAUCGCAGAGCGGCUUGAUACAACCCUGGCUCACCAAGUAUCUGCAAAAACAUAAACAAUCUUUCAUUGCAAUGAACUGCCGAUUAUAUUUUUUCCAGUGAGACUUUCCUUUUCUUCAUUAUUCUGCAAGUGCAGUCAACAUGAAAUGGAACUGCAUUCCCUGCUUCAUCAAAUCAAUGUAGGUAACAGGACAGAAUAAACCUAGACAAACCAUAUGACAAGCAGAAGACAACAAGAACGACAAUCUCAAAGUAAUUAACCAGUUAGUUUAUACAUGGACAUGAGCUAUGGGCGUUUAAUUCUCUUGAGCUAUUAAAAAUGAAUCACAAAGGGAACAACAUGGGCAUGAUUUCCAUCUUUUGGGUGAUAACCAGCACAAUGUUCCUCAUUUUGUGUUGGAGCAGAGCAAAUAUAGAUAGAGACAUACUGAAUUUGUUCAUGGGACCCGCCAGAGACAGCAUACGAAAUAGCCCAUGCAGCCUCUUUCUUAAUUUUGAAUUCAUCAUGUUGAAGAAGGCUCACGAGAGGAGGAAUAAUGUUUGCUUCAAUUACAGCCUGAAAAGGACAAUAGAACCAUUUUUAAAAGAUUGUAUAGCACAGUGACCUAUGGAAACAUCUCUUAAGAGGGUCAAUUUCAUAAUUAAAAUGCUAUGUCUCAUAGCAAAAUCCAUACAGGAUCAUUAGGGAUUCAGAUCCUGACUUGUCUGGUAAUGUUAUAGAUCUAUCAGAUAAGAAAAGCUCCUUCUAAAAAAUUAGAAAACAAGCAAAAGGAGUAAGAGUGAACGUAAUUCUGGUAUUCAAUCUUGAAAGUGUACUUUGGAAAUACGCCAGAAGUUCCUUAUCAAGAAAAUCAAAAGUGAAAACAAUUACUGUGUUGAAGGAGAGGCUGCUCUGACCAGAGAGAAGAGACAAGGUACCAUCAAUUAUAGAAAGAUUCACCUGGGAAUUCAGUAUAAUGACGGGGCAGCAUUUUAUAACAGCACGAUUGAGCAAAAGCAUCUACGAUAAGGCCUUAAUAGACACUUCUUUCAUAUUCAAUGCUCAAUACAAUAUACUGUGCUAUCAUCGAAUAGAGGUUUUACCUGAAUUUGAUUUAUGUUACCCGCUGUAAUAUUUGCAAUUACCCAACAAGCUUCUUCCUUGAUACUCUUAUCCCAAUUUCCAGUCAGAAUUUGACAUAAAGGAGGCAGUCCUUGAUUGUCAAUUACAAACUGCAAUCAAAAACCAAGUCUUCAGGUAAGGAUAAAAGAAGCUCGGUUUAAUCUUGGAAAGUACCUACGAAUCCCAAGACAAAAUAAACAAGUCAGAAACAUCAGUUACAUGAAUGCAGUUACUUCAAGUACAGAGAUAAUGGGAGAUGCACAUUUUGCUGCUCGGAAUCCAAAAGACCUAAUGAUUUCAAAAGACUGAACUACGUUUAUUAUUUUCAGUCGUAUAAGGGGGACAGAAAGACCUGAGUCUGAGCCUCGGUGCCCGCCACAAUGUUCCCCACAGUCUUAAGAGUUGGCACCUGGACUUCAGGUGAUGGAUGCCUGCAAAAGGAACCACAUAGGAAAAGAAACUGAAUCAAUGCCAAAAAAUAAAAUGGUAUCCUUAAAACGAAGUUUGACAGCACAAUCAGUGAAAUAUCCACCCUAGUGUCACUUUGUCUAUACCAAGAUCCAAUCAGUAUUCAUGAAGCUUAAGUAAAACCAAUUAACAAAAUCUUUUCAGCCAGUGAAGUAUGCUUAAACUAAGAGCACAAAUGGUUCGACUGUUUUACUAUGCUCCGUUCACAAAUUGGUCUUCUGUAUUUGUAUGCCCAGACUAGAAAUAUAUGCAGCAGACUCGACAUUCUUUCGCCAUGCAAGAAAACCCAUGUAUAUCAUCUUACAUGAGAAGUUCUAGAAGCCGAGGACAAAAUCCUGCGUCAAGCACAGACUGGAUAGUAGGAAUUGAGCCAUCACAAAUCAAAGACAGAGCCCUGCACGUGUCAAUCAAUACUGCUUCGUAGGCCGGCUUAACCUAAAGGCAGCAAAGAGAAAUCAUAAUCCUCCAAAAAUACUAAUAAAGUAUUUUAGAAUUCUGAAAGACAGGAGCGGAAAUUUUAAUCAUUAAAUUAUAUGACUCAAGUUCACAUUCAAUUCAGAAGUAUAAGGUGAUGCAACUGGAAGGUGUGUUGGAGCAGAAUCCUUCAUCUCAGUCACGAUUCUUUCACAACUCAGUUCAGUUUACAAUUGAGGCACAUGAACUCAAUGAUAUGGUGCAUUUCACUGAAGAGCCUCACCAAACCUUUGUGGUUUGGCUCAUUCUAACAACUUAAAGAUGUACUAACUAAGUUUCACAUCACAUGUGAUUCUAACUUGAAAUUCAAUAAUUAAAUCAGCUAAACCACUCGAUUGGGAAAGUAUAUACGAAUCCCAAGACCAAUUAAAAAAGUCAAAAACAUCAUUCACAUGAAUGCAGUUAUUUCAAGUUCAGAGAUAAUGGAAGAUGCACAUUUUGCUGCUCUAAUGCUUUCAAAAGACUGGACUACAUUUAUUAUUUUCAGUCUUAUAAGGGGGACGGAAAGACCUGAGUCUGAGCCAUGUCGCCUGACAAAAUGUUCCCUAAAGUCUGGAGAGUCGGUACCAGGACUGCAGGUGAUGGAUGCCUGCAAAAGGAACCACAUAUGAGAAAAGAAACUGAAUUGACACCAAAAAAUAAAAUGGUACCCUUAAGACAAAGUUUGACAGCACAAUCAGUGAAAUAUCCACCCUAGUGUCACUUUGUCUAUACCAAGAUCCAAUCAGUAUUCAUGAAGCUUAAGUAAAACCAAUUAACGAAAUCUUUUCAGCCAGUGAAGUAUGCUUAAACUAAGAGCACAAAUGGUUCGACUGUUUUACUAUGCUCCGUUCACAAAUUGGUCUUCUGUAUUUGCAUGCCCAGACUAGAAAUAUAUGCAGCAGACUCGACAUUCUUUCGCCAUGCAAGAAAAGCCAUAUAUAUCAUCUUACAUGAGAAGUUCUAGAAGCCGAGGACAAAAUCCUGCGUCCAGCACAGACUGGAUAGUAGGAAUUGAGCCAUCACAAAUCAAAGACAGAGCCCUGCACGUGUCAAUCAAUACUGCUUCCUCUUUUGAAUUAAUGAGGUGCCUGAGGGCAGGCAAGGCCGGCUUAACCUAAAGGCAGCAAAGAGAAAUCAUAAUCCUCCAAAAAUACUAAUAAAGUAUUUUAGAAUUCUGAAAGACAGGAGCGGAAAUUUUAAUCAUUAAAUGAUAUGACUCAAGUUCACAUUCAACUCAAAAGUAUAAGAUGAUGCAACUCAAAGGUGUGUCGGAGCAGAAUCCUUCGUCUCUGUCAUGAUUCUUUCACGACUCAGUUCACUUUACAAUUGAAGCACAUGAACUCAGUGAUAUGGUGCAUUUCACUGAAGAGCCUCACCAAACCUUUGUGAUUUGGCUCAUUCUGACAACUUUAAAAUGUACUAACUAAGAUUUACAUCACAUGCGAUUCUAACUAGAAAUUCAACAAUUAAAUCAGCUAAACCACUCGAUUGGGACUUAAAACCUCAUAAUAGACAUACUAAUACAUUAGGUGUGAAAUCCACAUUUUGAUAACCCUACCUUGUGAUCCAUGAACUGCGAAGCAACAUUUCUUUUCCUUCCCUCAAUCCUCUUAUAGUCUAUUAGAACAGAGGGCAAUGUAACUUCUCCAAUCAUUUCUUGAACAAUCGAAAGUCAUGACAGGGUCAACAUCAGUACUCUUCUCAGUCAAGGGAGACGCCACUUGAAUCUACUUUGUGUUUGCGUCUGUGCAUGUAUGUGUGUGCAAGGGAGUGCUUAAGGGUAACAAAAGAAUUGCAUUUUUUGACAACUUCCUGUUUUACCUUUAAACCACAAUUGAUUCUCACAAAGUUUCAUUGAACAUAUUACAUUUAAUUUAUUUUUGUAAAUCCCAAAAUGUGCAGUUUUGAGGCGCUAAGCUUCCUUAUUCAUCUAUUCUAGAUCUAAUCAGUGAAUCUUAUGGUCCACAACUCAGUUUUACGAAAGACGUGACUUGCCAUUGAUGUUUCAGACCUCAUUUUGACGACUACAGAAAUUAACAACGAUUCCUUUCCUGUUUAAAUGGAGGAGGAUGCUUGCCAUCACAUAAGUUGAGUAAAGUCCGAGCAAUGCUCCUCAUCAUGGUCGAUCCUGGAUGUUUAUCCAAUUGAGCCAAUAGUAGAUCUAGAGCGCCUGCACUUAAUACAAGAUCCCUGCAAUCUUGCGAGUCAGCGGCAAUAUUUGCCAGAGCCCAGAUAGCCUGCUUGAUUCAUGGGAAUUCAGAUUAGAUCAUCUUAUCCAUCAUAUUUACCAAAAAGUUUUAAGAAAUCAACUCAAAGAAUUGUCAUGAGAAAAAACAAAAGACCCAACCUGUUCUCGAGCAUAAGCAAAUGUAGAGUGAAGAAGUUGCACGAAUUUAGGGAUAGAUCCGAGUUGGAUGAUGAGUUGUACGUGAUCUGAUGUCCCAGAAGCUAUAUUGGCCAAUGCCCAUGCAGCCUCAGACUGAAGAUGAAGAAAUAUUAUGACAUGAUGGCAAAUGAUUUCCUUUUGGCUGCAAAAACUAAGAUCUCAGUGAAAGAACAUUGAUAGAAACUAAAAGGGACCAUACUUGUAGUAGAGGAAAAGCGCCCUCAUCAAGGAACUUCACGAGUCGAGGGAUGACUCCUGCUCUGACAACCGCAUUGAUCACAGGGCUCUCACCUUCGCAUAUAUAUGAUUUGUCAUUGAUCAUGCAAACAUUCCAAUAACAAUCAGGCUAAAGGAAAACAAUUAAAGGAGGAGGGACAGAGGGCUUUGAAAUUACCAGUCGAUAAGAACUUCCUGAUCACCGUGGUUGCUGCUAAAUACCGGGAAGAAUCAUCCGAUAACAGAUGUUCCAACUGUCAUGAAAACUGGUCAGAAACUAUUUGACCCGACAUUAGCAUAGCCACAGAUGACUCGUUUCAAAUGGAUAGCACUAAGUUCCGCAGCGAUGGCUGAUGAAUGCAAAAGCCCCAUUCCUUGUUGGUCAUCAAAAUAGAACUACAUUUUGAUUUUUGAAGGUUGACUGAGGUGAUAUAGCAGUAUAGCAGUUGCCCUGUCACUUGCAAUAGGUUCUGAUCGAUGGGGUAGGAAUAGUUGAGGUGGUUGUUAUCGCUCGCAUUUGAGGAUGUCUGUGGAUCAAGAAUCCCACUGAAUCUAUAGUGGCAUGUGUGGUCGGCAGCAGGAUAAUGAAAUCAGUUAAAGAACCCAACUUUGUUCUCAAACUUUUUCUUCUUUUCUGGACUCCUUUAAUUAACGUGAAGACUCUUUUCCCAAUUCAGUUCCUUUUGUCUUGACCAUUUAUUGCAGAAGACGGCACCAGCACACACAUAAUUGGUCGACCGUUCUCCAAGUUAUUACUGUACUGUGAAAAGCGAGGACUCUCUUCAUGGAAACAAACCCUCUAAGGACCAACCCAAAAAUCUAUUUCAAGGGAUGAAAAUCGCAUCUUGCUGUCCCACCUUUUCUUUUCCUGCAAAAAGCAAGUGUCCAAGAUUUCUUAAUUGCCUCGCUUGAUCAACCCCAUUUCUCUCCUUUUUUGUGGGGGAGCAUUUUAGUUUCUAUAAAUAACAAGUCUUCCCCAUCAACAAGAACGACGAGUCGCCCAGAAAACUAAGCUACGCAGUGACCCAAACGCACUCCAGAAAAUAAAAAGGAACUGAGCGAAGUAGGGUUAACAGCAAUUGAACACAAUCAAACACUAGGCAACAGCGGAAGGACGAAUUAAAACAUAAGAGAAAAAAAGAGAAAUGGAGAAUAAAAUGAAAAAGAAAAAGAAAUGUGAAAAAAGAAGACCUCGGGUAGAAGACGUUUCUUCUUGAGAAUUUCUGAUUUCUUUUCCUCCCUGAUUCGCACCAGCUCCUCCUCUGUCUUGCUCCUGGCUUUCUCGGGGCUCAAGCCUUUCUUGUGCUGGUUCUUGCGUGUCGCACUGGAUGGACUCGGAGACAUUAUUACUCGCGCCUCUCUCUACUCUCUCCCUCUCACUCUCUCCAAGGUCCUCAGUAGUGGGGGUUUGUCCCUCGCAAGAAGCUCCAAGAAGGUGUUCAAUGGAGAACGGGGAGUAGAGAGCAGAAAAACAGCAAAACGACGACCAAAACCGACUCGGGCUUCGUGCAGAGUGGAGACUGGUAGUUAAAGACUGGUAGUUGCCAAGUCUAGUCAGCUUGACUCUUCGUACCUCCGGAUCAUAAAAUUCGUUGGCGGGCCGGUCCUCGCCUCUCCACCAUUGCGAGAGAGAGAGAGAGAGAGAGAUAGAGAGGAGCAGCAAUACAUAAACAACGGUCGAGCCAACACAUGCUGGGACUACAGUUACUUCGAGACAGACCAGAUCAUGGCACCGGGUCCGGCUCGAUCAAAUCCGGUGGCGAUAGAUAGACCCUUCACGGUUGUCGAGCUCGAAGAGGUUGAAGCGGCCACGGUUGGUGGUGUUCAAGGAGAAAAUAUUGGGUGAUCCGGGAGCUCCACGUCAGCGUGGUCCCGGCCACUCACGAGAUGCCAUGUGAAGGGGUGGGCCCAUUUGGUGUCUUCUGCCUUUUUCCCAUUCUCUCUCCUCUUCUUAGCCUGCCAACGCCCUCUCCGGAGGAAAGAGAAGCCCGUUCCUUCCUCUGUCACUCUCCAUUUCUUUCCUUUCGAAAUUCAAGUUGUGCAGAGCGGACGUCACCGUCGCGUUUCGCUGGAAGAGAGGUGCGACUUCGAGGACGAAAGAGAGAGAGAGCGGACUAGAGGUCGCAAGAGGGAGGCAGAGGGGCGUCGGCGUCGGCGUCGGAAUCGAGGGCGAUGGAGUCAACCGGCGGAGGCGGAGGUGGAGGGCCAUCCGCGUCGCGUUUCGCGUACAGCACCAGCUUCUCCAGCAACCUCGCCUCCGAGCCUUCCGUGUGGGGGGUCUCGCUCGGCGGGCGACGCUCGCCGACGUUGAGGGGAGCUCGAAAAGGCCUGCUUCUCCUCCGCGUGCUGCAUCUGUGAUUUCGGGAACGCCGAAACGAACGACGAGCAGCAACGAGCCGAAGAGAGAAGCGAGCGAGCACCGGAGUAGGGGCGGCCGCAAUGUGGUUCGUUGGCGACGGCAGGGGAACGGCUGCUUGAUGCACGCCGGAGCAGCAACGAGAGCGCGGAGGGAGAAAAUUUCAGAUUCAAAAUUUCGAAAGGAAAGAAAUGGAGAGGGACAGAGGAACGAACGGGUUCCUUGGCAAGCGGAGGAAAGAGAAAAGUUUAAGCCGCAAUAAAUGCGCUGCACAGGAGACAGAGCGUGCAGGCUAAGAGAAGAGAGGGCGUCGACAGGCAUCUCGUGAGUGACUGGGGACCACGCUGACGUGGAGUUCUCGGACCACCCAAUAUUUUCUCGGUGUUCAAGGGUGGCCGGCGUGGCUUUGCUACGGUAGAGUUUCGGUUGCAUGCUAUGCUGACGUGGCAUCAUUCCGAAAGAACACAUCGGAUUGAUCGAAUUUAACGGAGACACCAUGUUGAAUUAAAUUUCAAAAGUUGAGAUAAUUAAAUCGGACUAAUAAAAUUUUAGGUAAUUGAUUGAAUUCAACAGAGAUGCCACGUCGUUGCCCCCUCAUAAAGAAGAAGACGACGACGACGACGACGACGUGCAGGAGGUAUUCCCCGCUUCCUGUAGGUCCGUGGCGGUGGGCGGCGACAGCGACGACAAUGAGGACGACGACGCCGAGGGCGACGGCAACGGCGAUGGCGACGACGAUGAGGAAGCUGAGGAUGACGUAGCAAAUUGAUAUCUUCGGCAGUCCCGCUAUAAGCUCAGCCAUCUUGUCGGUUCGAUUCCUAGCUGUGCUUGAGAAUUGCUUAUGCGUCUCUUCCUCUAUGGUUUUUGAAAAUUCUCUCUUUACCAAUAGUCGUAUCAGUUCGAGUUCCGAAAAAUUUCAUCUUUCUCGUGUCAGAAAACUCUCUCUCUCUCUCUGUGCUCUGCUCUGCUGUUCUAGAUCGAGUAGGUUGCGUCGUGUAUGUUGUCACUGUAUUGAGAGAGAGAUCUGUGUGAGCUACGCAGCAUCUCAUCUCAUCUACCGAUUCGCCUAUCGAGGGUUUAUCCUGGAGGUUAGGAAUUUGCGCGUGCCAGUACGUGGAAUUGGGCAAUGAUUCUUUUCGCGGAUUGUUUGUCUUGAGUAUUGACAUCGCGUAUCUAGCGUUUACUUUCUUGCUUUGCGUGCUUCGCGAUUUUGUUAAAUUGAGAUCCUGUGUUUUCAAUUUCUACUGUUCUAUGGAUUUUUUUUCUGUGGAUUUUUCUCUGUAGAGUGUCAAUUUUCACCAUCUGUUCUGAGCUUUGUUCCUUCGUGAAACCCUAAGUCCUAGCACUCUGGUAGCUGGUCUUCAUAUAUUCCUAAUAUUUUGAAUCUUUGACUGCUUCAAUUUCGCGAAUUUCUUGGGUCCUUCAAGGUAUCCGGGGAUCUCUGCUGGGAAUUUGUGAUUUUUUUGGUCGGAUGAAUUCAGUUCGCAUCAUAUACGGAUUACUUGGAUCUUUUCCAGGUAUUUGACCUUUUGGAAACAGAUUUUCAAAUGCUUCAGCUCGAAAAAAAGAAGGCUUUUAAGUGAAAAGGCAGUCAAAGAUUGAACUGGGUGUUUCUUGUUUGCUUCUCAGAGAAGUGACAAUCACGAGGACGGUCAAAUUUCGUGCUUUCAAGCUUGAUAGAUCUCUAAAUCUAGGAUUCUAAAUCUAAGACCUUGCACUUAAGCCUUGCUUAUUUAAAUGAAUUCGGCAGGAGUUGGGAACUGAGUACCAAGUCAGGCCUGUGGGUCGUCCUGAGGAUGAGGAGGAUGCAAGUGAUUUCGAGCCUGAGGAGAAUGGCGAGGAGGAAGACGCUGACGAAGAGGACGAGGAUGAAGACGAGGACGAUGCUGGUGGUAAGGUCGAGGCUCCACCGAAGAGGAAGCGAUCAGACAAGGACAACUCUGACGACGACAAGGAUGAUGAGAGACCUGCCAAGCGAUAGGCCCAAAGGCUCUUCUCCUUCGUGGGAGAAAAUAUUGGGUACGUCUUAUGUAGCCAGCGUGGCAAACAAGAAGGCGGUGGGAGCGCGACACGUGUCCUCGUGGGACCCAUAAAGUCAGGCGUCUGCUCCUCGACUCAGCGCUUCUUCCUCUCUCCUCUAACUCUCGUCUCGGCUGGUGGCUCGGCUCGGCUGGCAAAAGAAAGGACGUCCUCUCCUCCUGACCUGCACGCUCUCUCUCCUGUCAGAGCAUUUAUUGCGGAAACUUUUCUCUUUCCUUCGUUUGAGAAAGAAAAUGGCCGUUCGUUCCUCUUUCCCUCUCCAUUUCUUUCCUUUCGAAUUUUUGAAUCUGAAAUCCUCUCUCCGCGCUCGUUGUUGCUCCGCCGUGCAUCAAGCGGCCGUUCUCCUGCCAUCACCGACGAACCACAUUACGGCCGCCGCUACUCCGGUGCUCACUCGCUUCUCUCUUCGGGUUCGUUGCUGCUCCGUCAUUCGUUCCGGCGUUCCCGGGAUCGCAGAUGCAGCACGCGGAGGAGAAGCAGGCCUCUUCGAGCUCCCCUCAACGUCGGCGACGUCGCCCGCCAAGCGAGACCCGCACACACGGAAGGCUCGGAGGCGAGGUUGCUGGAGAAGCUGGUGCUGAGCUGCCUCGUCGUGUUCGACACUCCUCCGCCUCCCUCUCGCGACGUCCGCUCUGCUCUCUCUCUCCCCCCCCUCUGCGAAGUCGUGACUCUCUUCCAGCGAAACGCGACGCCAACGGCCCUCCACCUCUGCCGGUUGACUCCGUCGCCCUCGACUCCGACUCCGACUCCGACGCCGACGCCGACGCCGCCUCCUCCCCUGAACCCGACUCUGACGCCGACGCCCCUUCGCCGGUUGCCUCCCUUUCUGUAAGAAAUUCAACAUUGAGCCACGGGCACCUGAGUUUUAUUUUGCUCAGAAGAUAGAUUAUCUCAAAGAUAAGGUUGAGGCAUCUUUUGUGAAGGAGCGAAGAGCAAUGAAGGUAGUAGGAGUGCCAAAUUUAAUUUAUCAAUUGCUCUUUGCAGAUGAUAGUCAAAGUCUUAAUUCUGUUCUUGCUGUGUUUGCAGAGAGAGUAUGAGGAGUUUAAGGUUCGUAUAAAUGCUUUGGUGGCCAAAGCCCAGAAGGUUCCUGAAGAAGGGUGGACGAUGCAGGAUGGAACACCAUGGCCUGGAAAUAACGUCCGUGAUCAUCCUGGCAUGAUUCAGGUAUGCAAAGUUGUCAUUUUCAGUUUUAGAACUCUUUGUUGAUGUGAGAUGAGAUUAACUGCUUAUUUCUGCUAUCUUUAAUAGGUUUUUCUUGGCCAAAGUGGAGGACAUGACUCUGAUGGGAAUGAAUUACCUCGCCUUGUCUAUGUUUCCAGAGAGAAGAGGCCUGGCUAUAAUCACCACAAGAAGGCAGGAGCCAUGAAUGCUUUGGUAAGUGUCAUAAGAAUCCACCUUAGUUGGUAAACCCCCUUUUUUGCUCUCUCCAUUGACCUCUCUGUGAACUUUUGUUUGUCUAACCGGUCAGGGUCUCUGCUGUGCUUACAAAUGCGCCUUAUCUUUUGAAUCUGGAUUGUGAUCACUACUUCAAUAAUAGUAAGGCUAUUAGGGAGGCAAUGUGCUUCAUGAUGGACCCACUUAUUGGAAAAAGAGUGUGCUACGUCCAGUUCCCUCAAAGAUUCGACGGUAUAGAUAGGCACGAUCGAUAUGCCAAUCGGAACACCGUGUUUUUCGAUGUAAGCAUGCAAUUAUCAACCAUUGAAUUGCCUCAUGUCCAUUGCACAUACCAUAUCAUUAAUUCUGUGCAAGAAGAUCUGACGGAGAAAUUUCUCUCUUUCAGAUUAACAUGAAAGGUCUGGAUGGUAUUCAAGGUCCUAUUUACGUUGGGACUGGUUGUGUAUUCAGAAGGCUGGCACUCUAUGGUUAUGAUGCUCCAAAAGCAAAGAAGCCACCGACCAGAACUUGCAACUGCUUGCCAAAGUGGUGCUGUUGUGGGUGCUGUUGCUCUGGGACGAAGAAGAAGAAGAAGAAUACCAAGCCUAAGACCGAACUGAAGAAGAGAUUUUUAAAAAAAAAAGAUGCAGGUACUCCACCACCUUUGGAAGGUAUCGAAGAGGGCAUUGAAGGUGAGAUUCUGCUUUUGCAUGAAGUCCCACUUAAUUGUCUAGUGUUGGUUUACCUUUUUCUAUCAUUGAAUGUGCCUCUCAAUUUUGGCAUCAAUCGGUGAAAUCUUUUUAUUCUUCCAAAAGCUUGUUUUCUAUUGGGUUGCUUCCCAGUUAACAUCUGUUCCAAUUUGGACUUAACCAAUUUUGCUUCCUAUGUCAUGUUUAAGGCUAGUUCUUUUACUUAGUCAUCAAUACAUUCAUGUUUUCUUAUGCAGGAAUUGAAACUGAAAAUCCCACGCCUCAGCAUAAGCUUGAAAAGAAGUUUGGGCAAUCCUCAGUCUUCGUCGCAUCGACAAUGCUAGAGGAUGGAGGAACACUGAAAGGCACGAGCCCUGCAUCUUUGCUAAAAGAAGCUAUCCAUGUCAUCAGCUGCGGCUACGAAGAUAAGACUGAGUGGGGAAAAGAGGUAAGUGUAGUGUAAAUGCUCUCUUCAUGCAAUUCCCCGAAACAAUUAUUGUUUCUCUCAGAGUUGGCUGAACUUUCAUCAUAUACAGGUUGGAUGGAUAUAUGGUUCAGUUACAGAAGAUAUAUUGACGGGCUUUAAAAUGCAUUGCCAUGGAUGGCGUUCCAUCUACUGCAUCCCUGCAAGACCCGCUUUGAAAGGAUCUGCUCCCAUUAAUCUUUCCGAUCGUCUCCACCAGGUCCUUCGUUGGGCUCUUGGUUCCAUUGAGAUCUUCUUAAGCAGGCAUUGUCCCCUUUGGUAUGGUUAUGGAGGCAGUUUGAAAUGGUUAGAGCGAUUAUCUUACAUAAAUGCCACAGUAUACCCCUGGACAUCAAUCCCUCUGUUGGCAUACUGUACUUUGCCUGCUGUGUGCUGCUUGCUUACUGGGAAAUUCAUCACGCCAGAGGUAGGCUAUUAGAUUUUUCUUUUUCUUUCUUUUUCUUUUUUUCAACUAUUGCUUUUAUAUCGUACAAUUGAUGAUAUUCCAGGCAAAAGAUCUUAUAUUGUCUUUGUUUCUUGUCCCCGUUGCAGCUGAGCAAUGUGGCUAGUCUGUGGUUUCUGUCACUUUUCAUUUGCAUUUUCGCGACAAGUAUCCUGGAAAUGCGAUGGAGUGGGGUUGGAACAGAAGAAUGGUGGAGGAACGAACAGUUCUGGGUCAUCGGAGGAGUUUCAGCACAUCUCUUUGCAGUUUUUCAGGGGCUUUUGAAGGUUCUGGCUGGUGUUGACACGAACUUCACUGUGACAUCAAAGGGUGGGGAUGACGAGGAGUUCUCUCAACUCUAUGCGUUCAAAUGGACCACCUUGCUCAUUCCGCCAACCACAUUGCUUAUAAUAAACCUGAUUGGUGUUGUAGCUGGCGUAUCAAACGCAAUAAACAACGGUUACGAGUCCUGGGGUCCUCUCUUCGGAAAGCUAUUCUUUGCCUUCUGGGUGAUUGUCCACUUGUAUCCUUUCCUAAAGGGUCUGCUCGGACGGCAGAACAGGACUCCUACAAUCAUCAUUGUGUGGUCAAUCUUGCUCGCUUCCAUCUUCUCCCUUCUGUGGGUACGUGUCGAUCCAUUCUUGGCCAAGUCGGACGGACCACUUUUGGAAGAAUGCGGGUUGGACUGUAAUUAGCAAGAGUGUCUGAUUCCUGGAACAUUUGGUCAGUAGGAUUUGUUUAUGGGUUAUUUAUCGUAAGGAUACAGAAAGAAUACAUUUGGUGUGGUGCCGUCUGCAAUGCAAAUAAAGGGCAUGUUUGGACGUCACUGUUUCCGCAACUCCGCCUCUCCAUUUGACCGCAACACUCUGAAGGGCUACAAAAACCGACUUUGCUGCUCUUUUGCAACAGCUGGGAGAUUGUCGGAAAGGACUGUGACACUGCUUCUUGAUUCUUUAUUUGGUUCAUAAUUUUUUUCUUUUCUAGGAUGAGGAGGUGGCGUGAACCACAGUAUAAUGUGUAUUAUCAUCUCAUAAUCUCUCUCUCUCCCUCCCUCUCUCUCCCCCUGUGUAAGUGUAACUCAGCCGAAAUUGUGAGCAUGUAUUAUAUACGGGGCAUCGUCCCUCAGUUGAUGCUGCUUAAUGUGGCCAUGCAUGGCGUUUUGCUGUUGGAAGAUCAAAGGGAAAAGUUCAAUUUUCUUUGGCCACAGAAACGGUUUUGAUUGCUUAGAUAUUCAAGAGACCUGACUGUACUUAUUACUACGAGUGCAUUGCAAACCAUGCCAUUUUUUAGAUUCUCCUCAAGAACAAUAGAGCUGCAAAAGUCGGUUGAAAGAUCAAAGGGAAAAUUUUCAAUUUUCUUUGGCCACAGAAACGUUUUUGAUUGCUUACAUAUGUAAGAGACAAGACUGUACAUCUUAUUACUACGAGUGCAUUGCGAACCAUGCCAUUUUUUAGAUUCUCCUCAAGAACAGAAGAGCUGUAAAAGUUCGUUGAAAGAUCAGAGGGAAGAAGUUCAAUUUUCUUUGCCACAGUAGGUGUUGCGACGGUUUUGAUUGGUUGUUACAUAUUUAAGUGACCUGACUUAACAUCUUAUUGCUCCAAGUGCAUUGCAAACCAUUGCCAUUUUUCAGAUUCUCCUCAGGAACAAAAGAGUCUCUGUAACAGUUGGAUGCAGGAAGUUUUAAUGCAAAUCAUCUGUAGACAGAAAGUUUUACACGAUUUGAGCGUCAAUGCAGCAUCAACUUGGAGAUUCAUCUUGGCAUCUGGUGAGACGGGCCAGAACGAUGAUGAGACGCAGGUGACCAAAAUGUUCCAACUCUUCAGCAACAGUAAGAAAAGCAGGAGAGGAGCCCAAAAAAAAAAGUCACAAAAGAGAAUCUAAAGAAAAUUCUGGCUAUUUUCCACACCAUCCCCAACCCCUUUUUUGUAUUGGGCUGGACAUUAUUCUGUAUGAGAAGAGACGUGUAUUAAUCUUUCACUCAACAGAUUUACAAAAAAAUUACUCCUCCCAUUGCCUUGGAGAAGCUGAAUUCUCACAUCCAGUACCAUAAAAUGAAAUCGCCGAGAUCUUCAAAACCCAUACCAAACUUGCUACUGGCCAAAGACCAAAGAAUGCCACAACUGUCAUUUCUAGGCACUGAGGUUUGAAAGCGUCUAGCCAAAGGUGAGAUGAAACUUCCAGGCUAAUCCCCUUGAAUACAUGUGACCAGAGUUUCAGAAGCCUGUCCUGCCAAAAAAGGUCAGUCAUCUCAAAAUCCACUUUGUCAUCAUGAUGCUGGGUUGAGAUGAACAGAUGCAGCUAAUUCUGCUAAUUGUUUCCCGCUGAGAUCAUAAACAAGUUCCAUAGGGAUUAAAUGUUUUGGUUGAUUGCCAAAAUCUUCCUCCUUCAAAUCAUAUACCGCUUGGAGCUUUUGGGCUUCAUAUUCUGCAGCUUUGGCCUCAGCAAGUAAAAUGUCUGCUUCUUCAUGGUCACCCAAUUCCACAGCAGCAGCUCUUUCAGCAUUGGCAGCACUGGCAGUUAUGAGUAACCUCUGGAGUCUAGCCACUGCCAAAUCCCUCUCCCUUAAUAAGAUCUGCUCCUCAGCCUCCUGCAAUUAAUCAACAGUUUCUUUAAUUUCUUCUUCAAGCUUUCCAAGCUUUCAAGCUUGAUUUGUGUUCCUUCCUUCUCAUUGCUCAACGACUUUGCUUCAGCAGCUAUUCGUGUAGCUUCUUUGAAAUUUCUUGCAGCAGCAGCAACCUUUUUCUCAGUCUCUAGUUCUGGAAGUCUCUUGUCCACAUAAAGUAUCCUCUGCUCAAAUGAAGCUAUCUCCUGUUGGAGGCUGGACUUAUUUGAAGACAGUUCCUAUGAUCAAAAGACAAGAAUCUAAUCAAAUGAUGCGUUGAAGAGCCAAAUAAAUUUUGAGUAUUCAGUUUUUGAAUUUUCGUCCUGAAGCUAUAGCUAAAGAACAUGCUUAACACAAUACCCUGACCACUAGACUGGACAAAAAAUUCAGAUAAAGGUCUCCUGACACAACAUUGGAGUUCACUGCAAGAUUUGAAAUCUGAUCAAAUUCUGCUUUUGCUUAUACUCUCCUGUUGCUCCCUCUUUUGCUUAUUGUUUCCUAUUUCUCCUGUUACAGUACUCCAGCUCUACAAUAGUUUGAUUUCAUGAUUACAUCCACUGUCUCACUCGCAAGCUAUAGCUUUUCUGUGAGGGGAAACAGUAGAUCUCAACAUACAUUGUCUUCAUAUCCCUAGUUGCCUAAACUUUUAAGAUUAAGGCUUCCCUAACAAAUACGUCGCAUCUCUUAUUUUCACCAAAAAAAAAAAACAAAUACGUCGCAUAAACAAACUUUUGAAAGAAAGUAGGAGUCACUCACUGCCUGUGUCUUUAGAAUAUUCCUUCAGCAAGUAUAUCUUAACCAUGAACCAACACUCAUCCUAGGUUGGAUAAUCAAACAUGAACCUCAAGCAUUACUGAUUCAGAAGACUGGAAGUAAAUUCUCCAAAAUGUUGCAACAUGUAGACUCCAUAGGCCAGAAUUAUAGUAGAUUAAGCAUGUGAAGCUUAACCACCUUUUAGGUAUAUGUCGUUUGCAUGUAAAGAGUAAGAUAGCUAAAAAGUAAAAUAACCUGUAAAGAAGCUCUUGCAGAGGAAGCUUCUUGUUGGAGCCUCAUGACAUCUUCAGAAAAUUUCUCCUCAGUCUUCAUCAGCCCCAGUUUACUUUCUCUGUACUCCAAAAUGCAGAGCAUUAAACCUUUUCUCAAUCCUGCUGCUUCAUUGUAUGCUUUUGCUUCAUCUGCAGCAAUCUUCCCAAGUUCCCUAAUCUUUGCUCCUUUAUUAUCUUCCUGAGAGAGUACGUCAUCAAUAUCUUUCUUUUUUAUAGAUAAAGCUUCACUUUCGGCAUCAACCUGAGAGAGCUUUGAUUUCAUUCUAUCAUAUUUAGCACCAAUAUCUGAUUGCAUGUCCUGAAAUCCAGAGACCACACCAGCAAUGUGCUUCUCUACUGCUUCAAUGGAAGCAUCAUUCUCAGCAAUUUGCUUCUCCUUCUCUCUCACUAAAUUAAGCAGCUUCUCCAAUUCAUCCAACAACACAUCCUUCUUCUUAAGAAGUUUUUCUUUCUCUCUACUGUCAUCAUCAAUUGAAUGCUCGAUGGAAACAUUCACUCCUUUACGAGCUUCACUUAUCAGAUAUGACUCGAUUUCAAGUUCCAUCUUCCUCACCUCCAAAUCUUCACUUGAUGAAAGCCAUUUGUCCAUUUCCUCAGCACGCAGUAAGUUUGCCUUCUUCUCUAUCAGGUCAGCACUAGCAGUUGCAUCCUGCAGGAUAAGAGGUAAAAAUGUCAGUCAUUCUGCUUCAAACUAAAUUUGGCUACCACAUGAAAUCGAUAGCUUACGAGAAAGCUUUUCGUGGUACGCAUGAUCCAACCUCAUGUUUUGUAGGGACAGAUGAAACAGUUAAUGAAAAAGUUCAGAGAGAGAUAGCACGGCUAUCCUUAAAACAGUCACUAUCCAAAAGUCUACUUGGAUUGGCAAAACAGAGACUACCAUGGGAUCAAUAUGACUUGCUGAAAGCUUUUAGUUUACCUUACAUCAAGUCAAUUAAAACCAUGGCUAUCUCAAAAUAAAAAACUAGGGCUACAAUUGUGCGCAAGGGCACACCAAUGACACCACACAUGCAGUGCACCCACUACCAUGCCUAUAAUCUACCAUAACCUAACAAUGGUCAAGAGACAUUCUUGUUUUCCAUUCAUUUUCCUUGAAGCACUUUGACAAAACUAGUCUUUCCAUGUUCACCUUGAGAACCCGACUGCCAAUUGAAAGAUGAAAAUUGACAAACGACUUCCUUCACUCAACAGGGGCAGCUAAGCACAAGCAUGAAUAUAAAGAACAUCCAGUCAGGAAGGCUUGUACCAUUACACACGCAAGUUUAUAAAGACAGAGAGAAAACCAGAAACGUGUAUCAAUCUGCUCCAGCCAAUGAUUGUGUUGCCCUGUGGUGCGAAGUUCUUACUAUAGAGCUCACUCUAUCUUAAUUCAUUCUAGGAUCAAGCAUUAGUGUAGCCAAAAAAAAGAAAAGAUGUUGUCACUGACCUUAGAGAAAUUCUCCAACAGAGAAACACACUCAUCCUCAGCAGCAAUCUGUGCAUUCAAAACCUCCUGCAUCUUCGCAUCAAUAGCAUCGCAUUCAGCUUCACUAGCUCUAAGUGCAUCCACCAAAGCUUGUCUCUCCUUUUCGGCAGCAGCAAAAGGAAAUAACUGAAUAAGUAAUGUUGGGUCGGCAUCACCAUUUUCUGCGAUGCAUGGACUUGGCGAAGGGGCAUCGGCGUCGGCGUCGGCGUCAGGCACAUAGGCGGAGGCCGAGGCGUCGGCGUCGGGGGCGACGGACUCCGACGCCGACGGAGGCAACCGGCGAAGGGGCGUCGGCGUCAGAGUCGGGUUCAGGGGAGGAGGCGGCGUCGGCGUCGGCGUCGGAGUCGGAGUCGGAGUCGAGGGCGACGGAGUCAACCGGCAGAGGUGGAGGGCCGUCGGCGUCGCGUUUCGCUGGAAGAGAGUCACGACUUCGCAGAGGGGGGGGAGAGAGAGAGCAGAGCGGACGUCGCGAGAGGGAGGCGGAGGAGCGUCGAACACGACGAGGCAGCUCAGCACCAGCUUCUCCAGCAACCUCGCCUCCGAGCCUUCCGUGUGUGCGGGUCUCGCUUGGCGGGCGACGUCGCCGACGUUGAGGGGAGCUCGAAGAGGCCUGCUUCUCCUCCGCGUGCUGCAUCUGCGAUCCCGGGAACGCCGGAACGAAUGACGGAGCAGCAACGAACCCGAAGAGAGAAGCGAGUGAGCACCGGAGUAGCGGCGGCCGUAAUGUGGUUCGUCGGUGAUGGCAGGAGAACGGCCGCUUGAUGCACGGCGGAGCAACAACGAGCGCGGAGAGAGGAUUUCAGAUUCAAAAAUUCGAAAGGAAAGAAAUGGAGAGGGAAAGAGGAACGAACGGCCAUUUUCUUUCUCAAACGAAGGAAAGAGAAAAGUUUCCGCAAUAAAUGCUCUGACAGGAGAGAGAGCGUGCAGGUCAGGAGGAGAGGACGUCCUUUCUUUUGCCAGCCGAGCCGAGCCACCAGCCGAGACGAGAGUUAGAGGAGAGAGGAAGAAGUGCUGAGUCGAGGAGCAGACGCCUGACUUUAUGGGUCCCACGCUGGCUACAUAAGACGUACCCAAUAUUUUCUCCCCUUCGUGGUCUGAGCAAUGACUUUGACAUAUUGACUCUAUUUUCUCUCUCAAAACCCGAUCCUCUUUGCAGCAGGAAAAAAAAGAUAGCUGGUUUUCAAUUGGAGUAAGCUUUU